UAGGAUGCUCGCACCGUGGCUAA
rnacentral:piRNA from 1 species